ensembl:lncRNA
AUCACAUAUGGCUUCUUUGACCCCAUCAAAUAACUUUAUUCACACAAACGUCCCUUAAUUUACAAAGCCUCAGUCAUUCAUACACAUUAGGGGGAUCCACAGUGUUCGAGGAACUUAAAUAUAAUGUAUCAUACCAACCCAAGUAAACCAAGUACAAAAAAUAUUCAUAUAUAAAGUUGUUCACACGUAGGUCCUAGAUUACCAGCUUCUGUGCAAAAAAAAGAAAACAAAGAAAACAGAUUAACUAGUCUUUGAAACUAACCUUGUGCCUGGGUUAAAACCUCCCUUGCACCCAAGCUGGCCCCACACGAGUGUAAAUCACUCCAACAUCCUCCCUGCUCUGAUGGAAAGAGGCACCUGGAGAACAAAGACUUCUUUAAAAUGUCCCUAAAUGGACUCCCUUCCUCCUGAAGCCUCUCAGGGAAAAAGAUGCAGGGGUCUCCUUCCUGUUUACCCCCCAAUCUUAGGGACUCCGGGAGCCACUGGCAGCGGACUCAGCCCUUGACUGUGUGUGCUGACAUUAGCCAACCUCACGACACAUCCUGGUGCUCCACUCCCAGUGCCUUCUCUCCAGAUGGCCUGGCCAUUGAAGCCUGGCAGGGCAGGAUCGGAAAUGGCCCACACUGUUCCUAAGGCUGCGCCUCAGCCCCAAGCCGGGGGUCUGGAGCCUGGAGCCGCACAACUCAGCUCUUCUCAGGUUACCAGGUCUUGGAGACUCCAGCGGCUGGACCCCCUGCCCAGGCUCAGGAUGGGGAAGGGGCAAGAACCUAAAAGUCCCACUUAGAGGCAGAGCCAAGACAGGCAGGGAGAGGUCGGCACAGAGGAGUAAGGUGGGCGCGCAUUUGGUGGGCAGGGCUGGGAGCCUGGGCGGCAGGAGCAGAGAGUUAGGGGGUGGAGGCUUGAUCCUACCUCUCCAAGCUUCCUAAGGAUAACCUGAGGCUGAAACCCAGAUAUCCAUCCAAGUUAGAGCUGUUUUCUAAAAAGGUAAACAGCAACACCAGAAAAAGAAAGAAGAUUCCCACAAUGUCUGCUCUUUUCCUUUUUUUAGAAAAGGACUCAAGCAAAAAAAAAAAAAAUCUUAUUGCUCCAAACACUGGUUUUCUAGGAAAUAACUGAUAUGUUAAGGAGAGAGAUCUUGGAGGAAGGGAAUGAGAGGCGGGGAAUGAAGGCUGUGAGGAAGGUGGCAAGUGGUCUUAGCACCGCAGGGUCAGGGGCAGAGGGCUUGUGGGGCCUGUGCCCCAGCCCUGGCCCCCUGCCUUCACUCGCUCUGGGGUCACCAUGGGCAGUGCCACAAAGGAGGCCAGGAGCCGUAGAGAGUCAGAUCUCUACCCAGCAAUGGGCAAGCUUCUCCUCCAGCUGUAAACAGGGUAUUUCUUAAGUAAACAUUGAAUACACUCCCUCAGAAAGGCAGCCAUGGGGGGCAUGGAUCACAGCGGGUUAGGGGGAAGAAUUCCACUUUUGACCCAUUGCCUCUGGAUGAGAGGAGGCUAAGGUCCACGGCCUUAGUCCCUGUGCCCAGGAGGGGGUCAGAUGGAGCUGGCCUUGAAGGCCUAGAAGAAAGAGACGUGCAUCCUUCUGGCUGGAGGGAAGAGGUGGGGAUCUGCUGGGGAGUAGAGCAGAGCGCACACCCGUCUGCAGCACAGCUCUGUCCUCAGCGAAGCUGCUAGUGGUGCCCUGUGGUGGGUGGGGACACUUGGCUGGCUACAGCUGAGGAAGGGAUGGGGAGGUCGCGGGGAAGCCAUCCUCCCACGUGGCUAUGUGUGUGGGGGAGUGAGUUUAAAGGACAGAUGGACACAGACAGGGAGACAGAAGCCAUGUACUAAGCCAGACGGUCUGGCGGAGAGGGCAAUGGAAUAAGGCACUAUGAUCUGUCUUGUUGAUUCCUCUCACUGAGGGAGAAUGAAGCUCAGAUCCUCCCUCCAAAGACUCUCCUUUCCACAGAUCCCAGGAGAAUAACCGACAGUUAUUUUAAGGACUAGAGAUUUCUACAACUUGCACAGAACUAAUAAAUUGGUGGUGCUGAGAUGAUGUGCCCCAGGGCAGACGAAGUGGAGAGCAGGGGAGGGGAAGAGACAGGCACUUGGGGCUGACAAGCUGGGCCUCAGGAGCUAGGGAAGGAGGUCCUGCCACCAAGCGAGGAUGGGCUGGGAGUCCUGCAAGACCAAGGUACGUGGACGCUGCUACCUGACCGAGGCCACCCACCUCGCCCAAAAGGUAUGGCCACCUGGGACCUUACUCAGAGCUAAGACACCUGGGGAGGGGAGAGGGGAAAGAUAAGCAAAAGGUAAAUAUCCUGUUAGACUUGAACCCUCGCUAGGAUUUCAGAGUGCGGGCUGUGGCCAGGGAGAGGUGGGGGCGCCAAGUCCAGGGACUGCUUCCCCAUGUGCUCGUGGACAGACAGCUGCCCCCAGGGGAGGGCAGGGAGGUGGGGCAGAGAAGGGGACCAACUGCAAUCAGGGGCUGCGCUCUUCCAGCUGCAGCUCAGCGCAUCCCCAGGGGAGAGAGGGGCCUGGUCACCACCUGCCGCCUUGCCGGACCCUGCUAACCACAGCCAGCCAUCUGCCCAGGAGGAGGAAGAAGCCUUGAGAAAAGGCGGAAAGAAUGUGAGCAAACACAUUGCUGAGUUUGCAAGUCUGGGCUGAUGCUGUGCUGGUCUCUUCCAGACUCCCAGGGUGGAAGGACUGUGGCUCUGGGGGGAAGCCCCCCUUGGUCACAUACCAACUUAAAUGCCCUCCAACAUCUCCCUCUAUCCAUUCUACGCGGGUUUAGAGAAAACAACAAAGAUAAACACAAAAGAAGAACUCCUUUUCCCUUCCUUGCCUUGCUGUUCUGGGGUGAGAAGCCUGUGGAGCAGCUGAAGGGGCUUCUGGGUAUGGGGCAAGAGGAACAGCUCUCCUCCUGGCCAGGGGAGAGGACACGCCUCUUCGAAAGCCCAAGAGGGAGGCUGCGUGAGCACUGAUGGAGAGCGGAAGAAAGGCUACACAGACAGACACUGGAGGUGGGGUCGGGAGUCAUGGCCACCAAGCCCACGGUCACCUGAUGGCUGUGGUCCACCCGCUCAGCCAGGUCCAUCCUUUCCCAUCAGACAUGUUCACACUGAGGGUGGGCACCUAAAAGGAAGUCUCUGCGGGGAGGGAGACGACGCUUGGCAUUGUCACCAUAUAUGACAGCACGGGGCCUGGCUCACAGGGCACACGCUGCACUGUGAGGAGAUAACAGCCAGUUUAGGACACCCUGUUCUUAUGGCAGUGGUCACAACUGGGUCUCAGGGGGCUCUGACACCCUGGACAUCUGGCGGGCACAUCUGGGAAGAUGAUCCUGGAGGCAGGAGGUGGUGGGUGCUGACUUCACAGGAGUGACAGAUGCCAGCUGAAGACCCUGCUGUAUCCUAGGCAGAGGUUUGGCACGACAUUUUUUCCCAGGGAAUCAUCGUCUGGGAGGAAGAUCACUGACAGAAAGGUAGGCUUGUAGAGCUGGGGUGGGCUGGCCGCUCAAUUACCGGGGAGUAAGAGAUGGUCACCUUCUGGCCCUCCCCCGUCAGAACCCCUGGUUAUGAAGGGCAGUAGAGGGAAACGAUUCCCUCUGUAAGUCCUGGUGUGACUCUGGGUUUCCAACCGCUUAAAGAAGACAAACUCCAAACAGGGAUCUUCUUUCUUGAGUUCUCCUGGCCAAGCUCUGGUCUUCCCCUUCUCGGUGGUUCUUGGCCUCUGAUCAUCUCCAAGGCCCAAGGGCCAGCCAGGAGCAGCCCACCAGGGAGUCCAGCAGUUCCUGCACCUGGUGGGGAGGCGGCACAGAGGCCUGCUUCUGUCCUCAUGCUCCCUGAUCCAGGAGAGGUCCCCAGAUUCUCCACGGAGGGGUAGGCCUUCUCUGGGGAAGUGAGGUGUUAUAAGCAGAACUAAGAGAUGGGUAAAAGAAAAAAGACAGGGAAAAUAAAGGACAAAAACAAUAUAGUUCCCUAACCCCUUAUAAAAAUUAAAAAUGAAAUUUAUACAUAUGCUUUGUCCAUAUUGAGUUUCUUUAAAGAAAGUGGUGCCUGUCCACAGCAUAACUUCCUGCUCUUCUGAAGUCUUAAUCAUUUAAAUUAAAAAAAAAAAAAACAAAGGCAGGGGGACAAAAAAUAAAAAAUAAAGCAAAAGUAAGAGGAGGGGGAAAACCCAAACGAAAGCUUCACAUUGCUGGAGACCCGGCUGUCAGGAGAUCACCAACCGGCCAAGCCGCCACCUGUGCCCUCUGCUGAAUUCUGUGCGAGACACGAUGAGACUGUGGGUCCCGAGGGUCAACCUGAAAGACAGAAGGCAGGGAGUGGACGUGGGUCAGUGGGUGUGGGUGCCUCCAAGCUCCAGAUGCCUCCCUAGGUGCCAGCACCCAACCCAGAUGAAUUCAGGAGCUGUGCAGGGGCGGGGUGGGGGAGUUGGUUUCACUCUCAGGGGUGAAUCCAGCCUCACUACAGACACCAGGUGCCGGACACGCUAUCCCCACCUUUCCAGAUCAACUGUGAUGCAGGCUAAGCACCACACGUCAGAUCACCUCACUGCCUGAGGGGCAGGCUCCGGCUGGAAAUCCACAUGUGAGGCCCUGGCUACAAAUUUGAGUCCCUCUCUCCUGGCUUCCCCACCCUGUUCAGAGAAGAUGAACAGGAUCCUAGUCAUCUGUCCCUGAGCCGUGGCAGCCAGGAUGCCCUCAUCCCCCCUACCCCCCCUUCCCUAGUGACUAAUCAGGCUGCCCUGAGCAUUCACAGCAACCCUCUCAUCCCAUUUCAGAGACAAGAAAAGUGAGGCUCAGGGCUCUGAGAACCUGCACUAGGCUACCCGCCCAGGUCAUAAGGAAGGCCAGAGUCCCACAGGCAGUGGCGCUGUUCAUCUCACAGCCACCCGCUGGGCCCUGUGCUCAGGACACUGCCGUGCUUAGGAAGGAGGCUGGAGCCAGAACUGCGGCCCAGUCCACAGGCUCUGCCACUUGACUGUGAGCAAAUCUGAGUCCUCUGGCUCUUUGGUCUGGUCACUGUACCACAUCACAGGUAUUAUGAAACCCCAAUAAACUAAUAUGUGGAAAGCUUACAACAGUGCUUAGCUGUACUGUUACUAGCUAUCUGGGAAUGGCAAGACCAGUGGCCUAUGCUUCAGGAACCUGUUCUAGUGGAGGCCUAGAAUACAACAGCCUGCAGAGAUUAUCUCUGGGCGGUCCCCACCCUGACCAGCCCUACUUUCCCAGUCUGAGCCUGAACAGAGCUAAGCAUAGUCUAAGCCUGGCAGGCGGGCCACCCAGGGUGGUAGUGUUCCGUGGCAACCCAUGGUCUCAUCAGUUUCUAAAUGCCCAUCUGAAUGACCGAAUCAGACCAGCCUUACCCAGAGUGCUUGACUCCCCCACUGGCUUCAAGGCUCCGUGAGCUGCUGCAGUCCGACAGCACGGCGUGGGUCCCAGCCCCACCUCCGACCCCCAUUACCUGACACGUGUACACUCAGAGCACACUGUAAUCCUCAGGUCCCGGGGAGGUGCCUGGCUAUCCUCACUGGAGGCGGCAGGAUAUGGUGACAUUGGACAAUUUACUUCUCCAGGUCAGCCUUCCUUUCCUCUUCUGUGAAAUGGGGGCUCUUUUUUGAGGUUUGAAUGGAAUACGACUGUGUGAAGUACCUGGCCUACGGCAGGACCCGACUCCUUGCCGAGCCCAUCCUCUCCCAGCCAUUUGUCCCCAACCAGAAAUUACGAAUGUGUCAGGCUUACGAGGCCAUGGCCCUUGGCCACUGAACCAUCCUAACUGCCUCCAGCCCCGCGAAUGACGGCAAGGACAUGCACAUCCCUGGAAGAGUAUGACAAAGCCUUCUAGAAAGCAAUUUGGCAACGUUUUCAGAGCUUCAAAUGUAUUUAGACCCUAUGAUUCCACUUCUGGAAAUCUAGUUUAACUGAAUAUACUAAAUAUGGAAAAGACUUUAUGAAUAAAGAUGUCCACAGAAGCAGUAUUUAAACUGAAGCAAUAACCGCAAAUCCAAAAAUGAGAGAUUGAAGCAAAUGAUCCAUCUACUCAAUGAUACAUUACAGAGGAAAUGAGAAAACUGUGUGGCAUUCUAAACAAAGUGUGGCAGAAGCAUUUCCAUGGGUUAACUGGGAAAAAAAAAGGCUUUGAAGUUCUGUGACAUACAGUAUGAUCAUAGGUAUGUAAAAACCAAAAACCUCCAAGUAUAAGAAAUCUGGCAAGAAAACACAUCAAAAUACAUCAAAAUGUACUUGUCACGGGUGGAUUUUCCUCUUCCUCUUCUCUCCCUCUGUAUUUUUAAUACUGAGUAC